AGCUUCGAAUUAAGAAAUCCAAAGUUUUAUUCUUUACAUUUUCCAAACAAAUGUCUGUCAAAAUAUACUAUCAUUAUUUCAUUCGAACAAAUCAAAUACAAUUUCCUGUUCUCGAAGCAACCCUACAUGUAAAAAUUUCUCGCAUGCGAUAUUUGUAUAUAUCCAUUCUACAAUGGGUAGAAAAAGUACUUUUUCGGUCAAAACAGUAGUACCAACCAUGACAUUUUUACUGUAUAUUUGCCGAAGCCGAGAGUUCAAGACUGCUUUACGGAAAGUAGUUACUUCCUUUCCAUUUCAACUGCAGACCAAGUAGGAUCACUUCGAGGGUGUCUAAAAUCCACCAUUAAAAUCUUGCAACAUAACUCGCUCAUUUAUUAAAAGCGUGAGAUUUUUUGAGACACUCAAAGUUUCCAACUGAGUCUGCCAUCACAGGAGAUUGGAAAUCAUUCAUUGCUUUAGCAAACAAAAACCAAAAGAAGGUAAUACGCUAAAAGCUCAUUUAUUCUAUACGCCUUUUUUUACUGCUUCCCUCAUUGUACUCUUUGUGCACAGAUUCACGAUAGCAACAAGAGGAAAACUACUGUCCCGUGCCCAAAUCACACCGGUCCUCAGUAUCAGGCCACAUGCUGGCCACGCGGCCUCGUCGUUUUUUUCUAGCUGCCCAAGCUUAGGAAAUUGAUACACAGCACACCCCCCCGGGCGCUUGGGGAAAAAAAAAAAAA